ACGAAGGGGGCUAGCGUUGUUCGGAAUCACUGGGCGUAAAGCGCACGUAGGCGGAUUAUUAAGUCAGGGGUGAAAGCCUGGAGCUCAACUCCAGAACUGCCUUUGAUACUGAUAGUCUCGAGUUCGGAAGAGGUUGGUGGAACUGCGAGUGUAGAGGUGAAAUUCGUAGAUAUUCGCAAGAACACCAGUGGCGAAGGCGGCCAACUGGUCCGAUACUGACGCUGAGGUGCGAAAGCGUGGGGAGCAAACAG
rnacentral:rRNA from 1 species